rnacentral:sRNA from 1 species
CCCCACGCUGACGCGUGGGGCUAACUGCUACCGUCGCUCCGCGACU